rnacentral:rRNA from 1 species
AUGCACAUGCAGAAGAUGGCAUUGACUGGUAUUCCCUGUCCCCAUUCCAUAUCCUGCUAUAGAGAUGAACUAAUUGAUCCAGAGGAAAUGGUGCACAAGUGCUAUGCUCUUUGCAAUUUCUCCAAGGCAUAUGCUCGUAUUAUCAUGCCUUGCAAAGACAAGAGAGAGUGGCAGAAAAUGGGUGGCUAUCUAAUUAAGCCCCCUUUAUAUGAGAAUAAACGUGGGAGGAAAGCCAAGAAUAGGAGAAUGCAGCCAGAAGAGGUGAUUGCAAGGCAAGGAGGGAAGAAGAUCACAAGACAUGGUACCAUUAUUCAUUGUAGCCAUUGUAACAAUCAUGGACAUAACAAAAAAGGAUGCUCUGCUUUCAAGCAAGGCCUACCUGCAGCAAAACAUAUGCAAAAGCAAAUGAGGAAGAGGUCAAGAACAACAUUUGAAGAGGAAGACCCUCAACCUACAAUGUCACGGCAAAAUGAGGCCACAACAGAACAACAAGCCCCUGGACCAUCAAUGACCCAAGUAAGUGAGGAGCCUGUUGUCACACAGGUCACACAGGAACAUGACAUGCCUCUUAUUGGAGUUCUUCAUCCACAUUCAAUGAUGGAAAUCAUGAGAAAUGAGCCUCCUAAACAAAAUAAAAGGAAGAUGCCAGGACCAUUGCCUGAAAGUUCUUUCCUCAACGAAGCUAGAGCAGCAAUGCCAUCUGCAGGAACCAGCACUGCAACAAGACUAGGUAGUCUUACAACUAGAGUUGAAGUAAUGAGGGAGGCCAAGCAGCAUGCCAAUGAAAUUUUGCAUGAACAGAGGUGUGCUGAAAUCCUGAAACAAAGAGAAGCAGCUGCUUUGCAAAAAGCAGGUGAAGCCCUUGCCAAGAAAGAAGCACAAAAGGCUAAAAAAAGCACUUGA